rnacentral:rRNA from 1 species
AGUUUGAUCCUGGCUCAGGAUGAACGCUGGCGGCGUGCCUAACACAUGCAAGUCGAACGGGGCGUAUGCAGCGGAAGCUUUCGGGCGGAAGCAGCAUACAGCCUAGUGGCGGACGGGUGAGUAACGCGUGGGUAACCUGCCCUGUACAGGGGGACAACAGCUGGAAACGGCUGCUAAUACCGCAUAAGCCCGCGGUGCCGCAUGGCGCUGCGGGGAAAACUCCGGUGGUACAGGAUGGGCCCGCGUCUGAUUAGCUAGUUGGCGGGGUAACGGCCUACCAAGGCAGCGAUCAGUAGCCGGCUUGAGAGAGUGGACGGCCACAUUGGGACUGAGACACGGCCCAGACUCCUACGGGAGGCAGCAGUGGGGAAUAUUGCACAAUGGGGGGAACCCUGAUGCAGCAACGCCGCGUGAGUGAAGAAGUAUUUCGGUAUGUAAAGCCCUAUCAGCAGGGAAGAAAGUGACGGUACCUGACUAAGAAGCUCCGGCUAAAUACGUG